rnacentral:rRNA from 1 species
CGGGUGGGGACGUCUAGAGAUACUGCCCCGGUCAACGGGGAGGAAGGUGGGGAUGACGUCAAGUCCUCAUGGCCUUUAUGCCUAGGGCUACACACGUGCUACAAUGGGCGGUACAAAGGGUCGCGAUCCCGCGAGGGGGAGCCAAUCCCAAAAAGCCGUCCCAAGUUCGGAUUGGAGUCUGCAACUCGACUCCAUGAAGCUGGAAUCGCUAGUAAUCGCGGAUCAGCAUGCCGCGGUCGAAUACGUUCCCGGGCCUU